rnacentral:lncRNA from 1 species
AAAGAAAAGAAAGAAAAGAAAAGAGAAAUGAAAAAAAAAAUAGGAAAACAGGUGAAGACAAUGAACAAAUGGCUCCACUUUUGUAACCAACAGAGAUUCCAGCAUGAUCACAAACAAAACAUCUGACAACUCAAAAAAGUAUCUCCAUGUGUUUCCACACAUGGACCAAUUUGGACUGGAAUGAAAAGUGUGAGCUACCACAAACAGUUCCUCUUCAGGUCAUAUAUGGUGGUCACCCCAACACUAUGCUCUUCUGUAAAACAUUUUACACUUACAGCCUUGUCCAGUUUCUCUCUCCAACAACUUGACUUCCUGUGCU